rnacentral:rRNA from 1 species
GACGAACCGUGCGAACGUUAUUCGGAAUCACUGGGCGUAAAGCGCACGUAGGCGGAUUUGUCAGUCAGGGGUGAAAUCCUGGAGCUCAACUCCAGAACUGCCUUCGAUACUGGAGAGCUCGAGUCCGGGAGAGGUGAGUGGAACUGCGAGUGUAGAGGUGAAAUUCGUAGAUAUUCGCAAGAACACCAGUGGCGAAGGCGGCUCACUGGCCCGGUACUGACGCUGAGGUGACGAAAGCGUGGGGAGCAAACAGG